GGGGCCGUAGCUCAGUUGGGAGAGCGUUACACUGGCAGUGUAAAGGUCGUCGGUUCGAUCCCGAUCGGCUCCACCA
rnacentral:tRNA from 1 species